GGGUUGUGAGGUUAAGCGACUAAGCGUACACGGUGGAUGCCCUGGCAGUCAGAGGCGAUGAAGGACGUGCUAAUCUGCGAAAAGCGUCGGUAAGGUGAUAUGAACCGUUAUAACCGGCGAUGUCCGAAUGGGGAAACCCAGUGCAAUUCGUUGCACUAUCGUUAACUGAAUACAUAGGUUAACGAGGCGAACCGGGGGAACUGAAACAUCUAAGUACCCCGAGGAAAAGAAAUCAACCGAGAUUCCCCCAGUAGCGGCGAGCGAACGGGGAGCAGCCCAGAGUCUGAAUCAGCUUGUGUGUUAGUGGAACGGUCUGGAAAGUCCGACGGUACAGGGUGAUAGUCCCGUACACCAAAAUGCACAGGCUGUGAACUCGAAGAGUAGGGCGGGACACGUGGUAUCCUGUCUGAAUAUGGGGGGACCAUCCUCCAAGGCUAAAUACUCCUGACUGACCGAUAGUGAACCAGUACCGUGAGGGAAAGGCGAAAAGAACCCCGGCGAGGGGAGUGAAAAAGAACCUGAAACCGUGUACGUACAAGCAGUGGGAGCACCUUCGGGUGUGACUGCGUACCUUUUGUAUAAUGGGUCAGCGACUUAUAUUCUGUAGCAAGGUUAACCGUAUAGGGGAGCCGCAGGGAAACCGAGUCUUAACUGGGCGUUAAGUUGCAGGGUAUAGACCCGAAACCCGGUGAUCUAGCCAUGGGCAGGUUGAAGGUUGGGUAACACUAACUGGAGGACCGAACCGACUAAUGUUGAAAAAUUAGCGGAUGACUUGUGGCUGGGGGUGAAAGGCCAAUCAAACCGGGAGAUAGCUGGUUCUCCCCGAAAGCUAUUUAGGUAGCGCCUCGUGAACUCAUCUUCGGGGGUAGAGCACUGUUUCGGCUAGGGGGUCAUCCCGACUUACCAACCCGAUGCAAACUACGAAUACCGAAGAAUGUUAUCACGGGAGACACACGGCGGGUGCUAACGUCCGUCGUGAAGAGGGAAACAACCCAGACCGCCAGCUAAGGUCCCAAAGUCAUGGUUAAGUGGGAAACGAUGUGGGAAGGCACAGACAGCCAGGAUGUUGGCUUAGAAGCAGCCAUCAUUUAAAGAAAGCGUAAUAGCUCACUGGUCGAGUCGGCCUGCGCGGAAGAUGUAACGGGGCUAAACCAUGCACCGAAGCUGCGGCAGCGACACUAUGUGUUGUUGGGUAGGGGAGCGUUCUGUAAGCCUGCGAAGGUGUGCUGUGAGGCAUGCUGGAGGUAUCAGAAGUGCGAAUGCUGACAUAAGUAACGAUAAAGCGGGUGAAAAGCCCGCUCGCCGGAAGACCAAGGGUUCCUGUCCAACGUUAAUCGGGGCAGGGUGAGUCGACCCCUAAGGCGAGGCCGAAAGGCGUAGUCGAUGGGAAACAGGUUAAUAUUCCUGUACUUGGUGUUACUGCGAAGGGGGGACGGAGAAGGCUAUGUUAGCCGGGCGACGGUUGUCCCGGUUUAAGCAUGUAGGCUGAUUGUCCAGGCAAAUCCGGAUAAUCAAGGCUGAGGUGUGAUGACGAGGCACUACGGUGCUGAAGUAACAAAUGCCCUGCUUCCAGGAAAAGCCUCUAAGCAUCAGGUAACAUCAAAUCGUACCCCAAACCGACACAGGUGGUCAGGUAGAGAAUACCAAGGCGCUUGAGAGAACUCGGGUGAAGGAACUAGGCAAAAUGGUGCCGUAACUUCGGGAGAAGGCACGCUGGUGUGUAGGUGAAGCCCCUGCGGGUGGAGCUGAGACCAGUCGAAGAUACCAGCUGGCUGCAACUGUUUAUUAAAAACACAGCACUGUGCAAACACGAAAGUGGACGUAUACGGUGUGACGCCUGCCCGGUGCCGGAAGGUUAAUUGAUGGGGUUAUCCGUAAGGAGAAGCUCUUGAUCGAAGCCCCGGUAAACGGCGGCCGUAACUAUAACGGUCCUAAGGUAGCGAAAUUCCUUGUCGGGUAAGUUCCGACCUGCACGAAUGGCGUAAUGAUGGCCAGGCUGUCUCCACCCGAGACUCAGUGAAAUUGAACUCGCUGUGAAGAUGCAGUGUACCCGCGGCAAGACGGAAAGACCCCGUGAACCUUUACUAUAGCUUGACACUGAACAUUGAGCCUUGAUGUGUAGGAUAGGUGGGAGGCUUUGAAGCGUGGACGCCAGUCUGCGUGGAGCCAACCUUGAAAUACCACCCUUUAAUGUUUGAUGUUCUAACGUUGGCCCCUUACCGGGGUUGCGGACAGUGUCUGGUGGGUAGUUUGACUGGGGCGGUCUCCUCCCAAAGCGUAACGGAGGAGCACGAAGGUUAGCUAAUCCUGGUCGGACAUCAGGAGGUUAGUGCAAUGGCAUAAGCUAGCUUGACUGCGAGCGUGACGGCGCGAGCAGGUGCGAAAGCAGGUCAUAGUGAUCCGGUGGUUCUGAAUGGAAGGGCCAUCGCUCAACGGAUAAAAGGUACUCCGGGGAUAACAGGCUGAUACCGCCCAAGAGUUCAUAUCGACGGCGGUGUUUGGCACCUCGAUGUCGGCUCAUCACAUCCUGGGGCUGAAGUAGGUCCCAAGGGUAUGGCUGUUCGCCAUUUAAAGUGGUACGCGAGCUGGGUUUAGAACGUCGUGAGACAGUUCGGUCCCUAUCUGCCGUGGGCGCUGGAGAAUUGAGGGGGGCUGCUCCUAGUACGAGAGGACCGGAGUGGACGCAUCACUGGUGUUCGGGUUGUCAUGCCAAUGGCACUGCCCGGUAGCUAAAUGCGGAAGAGAUAAGUGCUGAAAGCAUCUAAGCACGAAACUUGCCCCGAGAUGAGUUCUCCCUGAGACUUUAAGUCUCCUGAAGGAACGUUAAAGACGAUGACGUUGAUAGGCCGGGUGUGUAAGCGCAGCGAUGCGUUGAGCUAACCGGUACUAAUGAACCGUGAGGCUUAACCUUACAACGCCGAAG
rnacentral:rRNA from 2 species